CCUACGGGAGGCAGCAGUGGGGAAUAUUGGGCAAUGGGCGCAAGCCUGACCCAGCAACGCCGCGUGAAGGAAGAAGGCUUUCGGGUUGUAAACUUCUUUUGUCAGGGACGAAGCAAGUGACGGUACCUGACGAAUAAGUCAAGGCUAACUACGUGCCAGCAGCCGCGGUAAUCCGUAGGUGGCAAGCGUUAUCCGGAUUUACUGGGUGUAAAGGGCGGGUAGGCGGGGAGGCAAGUCAGAUGUGAAAACCACGGGCUCAACCUGUGGCCUGCAUUUGAAACUGUUUUUCGUGAGUGCUGGAGAGGCAAGCGGAAUUCCGGGUGUAGCGGUGAAAUGCGUAGAUAUACGGAGGAACACCAGUGGCGAAGGCGGAUUGCUGGACAGUAACUGACGCUGAGGCGCGAAAGCGUGGGGAGCAAACAGGAUUAGAUACCCCUGUAGUC
rnacentral:rRNA from 1 species